rnacentral:tRNA from 1 species
AAGGAUAUGGCUCAGUUGGUAGAGUGCUUGCCUACCAUGCACAAGGCCCUGGGUUCAAUCCUCAGUACUGUCA